rnacentral:rRNA from 1 species
UGCGUAGGCGGAAUAUUAAGUCAGUGGUGAAAUCCUGCGGCUCAACCGUAGAACUGCCAUUGAUACUGAUAUUCUUGAAUGUAAUUGAGGUAGGCGGAAUGUGUAAUGUAGCGGUGAAAUGCUUAGAUAUUACACAGAACACCGAUUGCGAAGGCAGCUUACUAAACUAUGAUUGACGCUGAGGCACGAAAGCGUGGGGAGCGAACAGGAUUAGAUACCCUGGUAGUCC